rnacentral:rRNA from 1 species
AUUGAACGCUGGCGGCAGGCCUAACACAUGCAAGUCGAACGGUAACAGGAAGCAGCUUGCUGCUUCGCUGACGAGUGGCGGACGGGUGAGUAAUGUCUGGGAAACUGCCUGAUGGAGGGGGAUAACUACUGGAAACGGUAGCUAAUACCGCAUAACGUCGCAAGACCAAAGAGGGGGACCUUAGGGCCUCUUGCCAUCGGAUGUACCCAGAUGGGAUUAGCUAGUAGGUGGGGUAACGGCUCACCUAGGCGACGAUCCCUAGCUGGUCUGAGAGGAUGACCAGCCACACUGGAACUGAGACACGGUCCAGACUCCUACGGGAGGCAGCAGUGGGGAAUAUUGCACAAUGGGCGCAAGCCUGAUGCAGCCAUGCCGCGUGUAUGAAGAAGGCCUUCGGGUUGUAAAGUACUUUCAGCGGGGAGGAAGGGAGUAAAGUUAAUACCUUUGCUCAUUGACGUUACCCGCAGAAGAAGCACCGGCUAACUCCGU